GUCAGCAUUUCAGAGUCAGAGUUGUGGAACCCUGUAUCUUGAUCAAGUGUUAUUGAUGCUUUAAAAAGAUCCAGGACUUCUUCACGAGGCUGUCAGGGAUGCGAAAACACAAUGAUUUGACUUCUCAAUAUAAUGCUGGUGGAUAUAUACCUCAGCAAGAUGGAGUUGGGGAUGCUGCACAUGGAGUUUUUGAAAUUGAGGUCUGAGCAAUCUGGUUGGUAGAACCUGUGGCCUUAGAGAGUCAGGCGCUAGCUGAAGACCCUUUUGUAUGUUGUGAUGACAUAGGUCUUCUUUCUACUCUCUCUUAAUUUGUGUAGGUAAAACUAACAUGCUAAUUUGUUAUAGAACCCUCUGAGUUACUUUUAAAAUUAGAGAAUUUACCUGGAUAAUUGCUUUUUACCAAUGCAGGGGAAGGCAUGAGUGAACUGUCUUUGGCAGAUCGUGCCACCAUAGCAAACAUGGAAAAUAGUUGUGUUUGGAUUCUGAUUAUUUCUCAUGCUACCACCUAUAAAAACAAAAUGUUGGGAUAUAUUGAAGACUAUUUUUUCCAUAUUCUCUUUAUUGUAGGAUUUUGGUGGCUGUUUUGAUAGUAUGUGAGAGGUUAAUUUAGAAUACCUUGGUAGAGUUGUGUUCAACAUAAAUGUCGGGAACUGAUUCUCACACAACUAUGAUUGAUGGCCUUGGUGUUGCUGGAUGGGGAGUUGGUGGAAUAGAAGCUACAAUGCUUGGCCAGCUUAAUUUAGAAUACCUUGGUAGAGUUGUGUUCAACACAAAUGGCGAGAACUGAUUCACACACAACUAUGAUUGAUGGUCUGGGUGUUGCUGGAUGGGGAGUUGGUGGAAUAGAAGCAGAAGCUGCAAUGCUUGGCCAGUAGGAGACUAAUGAUCUAGAAAAAACUUUUUACAACAAAGCAAUCAUUUUCUCAUAAUAAGAGGUGGAGGAGGACCUUGGGUGGGAUGACAUUGAGGAUCUUAGCAGUAUUGAUGAAAAUAAAACAAGGCAGCAGAGUGGUGGUGGCGCAAGCAAAGUUGAUUUGUGGAAGCGGCUUAGUGCUACGGAACAAGAGGAAGACUUGAGCUGGGACAUUGAAGAUGAUGAUGAUGAGACUGUUAAGGCUUGAAAUGUUUGAUGCAUUAUGUUCUGAUUUCUCAAUGGGAGUGUAUGAUGUAAGUGUCAUUUUCAUGCAAAGAAAUUUGUCCAUGUUUUUAUAUUUUCAGAAAUUGGGAUAGAAGUAUUGUUGUUUGUUCUGUUCCUAAAAUGCAUGAAAAGUAUUUGUUUCUAAAA